AGAGGAUACAUGGUGAUGCUGACCUCCAGGGCCAGCUGCCUGGCUUGCCAAGACAGUGUCCUCAGAGACUGUGCAUGCAGACCCACAGCCUACCUGCCCUGCCCCCAGGUCCUUGCUCUGUCUUUAGCCAGCCUUUGUGGGCCUUCACUUCCCAGCACUACGAGGGAGGCUGACUGGCCUAUUUCCUCCUGACUCAAGGAAGGUUUGCUUGCUGAAAGAUUAUCCAG
rnacentral:lncRNA from 1 species